rnacentral:rRNA from 1 species
AUUGAACGCUGGCGGCAGGCCUAACACAUGCAAGUCGAGCGAGCGGCGGACGGGUGAGUAAUGUAUGGGAAACUGCCCGAUAGAGGGGGAUAACUACUGGAAACGGUGGCUAAUACCGCAUACUAUCGGAUGAGGCCAUAGGGGAUUAGCUAGUAGGUGGGGUAACGGCUCACCUAGGCGACGAUCCCUAGCUGGUCUGAGAGGAUGAUCAGCCACACUGGGACUGAGACACGGUCCAGACUCCUACGGGAGGCAGCAGUGGGGAAUAUUGCACAAUGGGCGCAAGCCUGAUGCAGCCAUGCCGCGUGUUUGAAGAAGGCCUUAGGGUUGUAAAGCACUUUCAGCGGGGAGGCGUUACCCGCAGAAGAAGCACCGGCGAACUCCGUGCCAGCAGCCGCGGUAAUAC